UUCUGCCUUGUGUAUAACGCGUGAGGGAGGAAGGCUCUUGGGUCGUAAACCUCUUUUCUCAGGGAAGAAAAAAAUGACGGUACCUGAGGAAUAAGCAUCGGCUAACUCCGUGCCAGCAGCCGCGGUAAUACGGAGGAUGCAAGCGUUAUCCGGAAUGAUUGGGCGUAAAGCGUCCGCAGGUGGCAAUGUAAGUCUGCUGUUAAAGAGUGAGGCUCAACCUCAUAAGAGCAGUGGAAACUACAUAGCUAGAGUACGUUCGGGGCAGAGGGAAUUCCUGGUGUAGCGGUGAAAUGCGUAGAGAUCAGGAAGAACACCGGUGGCGAAGGCGCUCUGCUAGGCCGUAACUGACACUGAGGGACGAAAGCUAGGGGAGCGAAUGGGAUUAGAUACCCCAGUAGUCCUAGCCGUAAACGAUGGAUACUAGGCGUGGCUUGUAUCGACCCGAGCCGUGCCGUAGCUAACGCG
rnacentral:rRNA from 1 species